UGGAUGUUUAACGAAUUUGAAAGCUGGUAGAUGGUAGUUUGCAGAACCCUGGCAGUUUACCUAUUUGUCUAUUCAUUUUCAUAAUAUGCAUGUGUACUACUGCAUGUGUUCUUUUUCUGGCAAAAAAAUACUUUUUCAGUUUCAUAUCUUCUGCAGUUGUGCAGCGGUGUGGAUGAAAAUGCAGCUGGUGCAUGUGCCCAGCUUGUCUUUGCACCCAUUGAUGAAUCUUUUGCUGAUGAUGACGAUUCUGGUUGUUGCCGAUUCUGGAUAUUGAUGCACUGUAGUCUUGUUCUGCUAUGUUUUUUGGAUGUUCAACCUAGAUGUUCUGGAUGUUAGAUCCUUGUUUCUGUAGCGCUCAUACAUAUAUUCGAUUCAAUUUGUCCAUCUCAACAGCUUCUCAGUUCAGGCAGAGGUAGUACAAGUGACGGAGGAGGGUGAAGGCCUCGCCGACCGCUGCGCGCUGGCUACCCACAGCGACUGUGGCCGUCGGAGCUUCGUGCCGUGGCGGAGCAGCGUGCGGCAGCGAGGGCGACCGCGGCCCCCACCUGGACUUCCUGUUCCACCUCAACUUUCACCAUGCCCUGUUAGAAGCUAUCGGCCUCCAGGUCUCCAUGCCACCCUUAUUGUUCAUGCCUCUCCAUCCUUUUUUUUUGUUCUUGAUUUGCUUUUUGUUUUAUUGGGAAACGAGGAGCUGUUGUAACGGAGGAGAGUUGCUGGCUGUUGUUCUUGCCGAAUGGGGAGGGAGAGAGUUAUGCAUGAAUUGAUGCAAACAAAUUCUAUCAUUUCUUUUCUUUUACUGUUGGCUAAGUGUUGUGUGUUUUGAUACAUGUAAUAUGUUUUAUUGUGUUAUAUCAGUGAACUAUUUUAAAUCUUUUUAAUGGUGUACCUGCAUGUUCAAAUAAUAGAGUCUGUUGCUAGUAGUGUAUAUUGUUUAA